UACAGAGGGGGCAAGCGUUUGUUCGGAAUUACUGGGCGUAAAGGGCGCGUAGGCGGCCUGUUAAGUCGAACGUGAAAUCCCCGGGCUCAACCCGGGAACUGCGUCCGAUACUGGCAGGCUUGAAUUCGGGAGAGGGAUGCGGAAUUCCAGGUGUAGCGGUGAAAUGCGUAGAUAUCGGAAGGAACAUCAGUGGCGAAAGCGACUUCCUGGACCAAUACUGACGCUCAUGUGCGAAAGCGUGGGGAGCAAACAGG
rnacentral:rRNA from 1 species